UACGUAGGGUGCGAGCGUUGUCCGGAAUUACUGGGCGUAAAGAGCUCGUAGGUGGUUUGUCGCGUUGUUCGUGAAAACUCACAGCUUAACUGUGGGCGUGCGGGCGAUACGGGCAGACUGGAGUACUGCAGGGGAGACUGGAAUUCCUGGUGUAGCGGUGGAAUGCGCAGAUAUCAGGAGGAACACCGGUGGCGAAGGCGGGUCUCUGGGCAGUUCCUGACGCUGAGGCGCGAAGGCCAGGGGAGCAAACGGG
rnacentral:rRNA from 1 species